rnacentral:rRNA from 1 species
GACGAACGCUGGCGGCGUGCCUAACACAUGCAAGUCGUGCGAGAAAGUUCCUUCGGGAGCGAGUAAAGCGGCGCACGGGUGAGUAACACGUAGGUAACCUGCCCCCCAGUCUGGAACAACUAGAGGAAACUCUAGCUAAUGCCGGAUGAGACCACGAUCCCUUCGGGGGUUGCGGCCAAAGAUGGCCUCUACUUGUAAGCUAUCGCUGAGGGAUGGGCCUGCGGGCCAUUAGCUUGUUGGUGAGGUAACGGCUCACCAAGGCUGUGAUGGCUAGCUGGUCUGAGAGGAUGACCAGCCACACUGGGACUGAGACACGGCCCAGGACUCCUACGGGAGGCAGCAGUGGGGAAUAUU